ensembl:snRNA U4 U4 spliceosomal RNA
AGCUUUGCGCAGUGGCAGUAUCGUAGCCAAUGAGGUUUACCUGAGGCGCAAUUAUUGCUAAUUGAAAACUUUUCCCAAUACCCUGCCAUGACGACUUGAAAUAUUGUCGGCCUUGGCAAUUUUUGACAGUCUCUACGGAGA